rnacentral:rRNA from 1 species
UACGUAGGGGGCGAGCGUUGUCCGGAUUUAUUGGGCGUAAGGAGCGUGUAGGCAGCCAGGUAGGUCUGCUGUGAAAACUCGAGGCUCAACCUCGAGACGUCGGCGGAAACCAUCUGGCUAGAGUCCGGAAGAGGAGAGUGGAAUUCCUGGUGUAGCGGUGAAAUGCGCAGAUAUCAGGAAGAACACCCGUGGCGAAGGCGGCUCUCUGGGACGGUACUGACGCUGAGACGCGAAAGCGUGGGGAGCGAACAGG